rnacentral:rRNA from 1 species
CCUACGGGGGUCAGCAGUGGGGAAUAUUGCACAAUGGGGGAAACCCUGAUGCAGCGACGCCGCGUGGGUGACGAAGUAUUUCGGUAUGUAAAGCCCUAUCAACAGGGAAGAAGAUGACAGUACCUGACUAAGAAGCCCCGGCUAACUACGUGCCAGCAGCCGCGGUAAUACGUAGGGGGCAAGCGUUAUCCGGAUUUACUGGGUGUAAAGGGAGCGUAGGUGGCUUGGCCAGCCAGAAGUGAAAACCCGGGGCUUAACCCCGGAGAUUGCUUUUGGAACUGGCGGGCUGGAGUGCAGGGGGGGCAGGCGGAAUUCCUGGUGUAGCGGUGAAAUGCGUAGAUAUGAGGAAGAACCCCGAUGGCGAAGGCGGCCUGCUGGAGUGUAACUGACACUGAGGCUCGAAAGCGUGGGGAGCGAACAGGAUUAGAUACCCGGGUAGUC